AAAGUCGUAACAAGGUUUCCGUAGGUGAACCUGCGGAAGGAUCAUUACAAAUAAAGCUGGUAGGAAGGUGGGGUCUUGAUCUGUAAGUGGUAGAGCGAACAGUCCGGCUUGCCUCCCGAAAUGUCUUUACAGUGUCCCCCACCAGCCAUGCAUAGGCCAGGUCAAUUGAAUCAACCCACCUUGAUUUAUCUACAACUUGUUGCUUUUGGGGUGCUCAAGUGCCCCAGAGGACCCAACUCUCUUGCAUUUAGUGACGUCUGAGUACUAUAUAAUAUUUAAAA
rnacentral:misc_RNA from 1 species